CGCACAUUGCGCCCUUUGGUAUUCCGAAGGGCAUGCCUGUUCGAGCGUCAUUAUCACCCCUCAAGCCCCCCCGGGUUUGGUGUUGGACGGCCUGGUCGGGCGACCGACCCCUCCUAAAGACAAUGACGGCGGCCUCGUGGGACCCCCGGUACACUGAGCGUCUUAACUGAGCACGUAUCGGAGCAACGGGUCCCCGGGACACGGUCUGAAAACCUAUUAUAUUUUCUCAAGGUUGACCUCGGAUCAGGUAGGGAUACCCGCUGAACUUAA
rnacentral:misc_RNA from 1 species